CUACGGAGGGUGCGAGCGUUAAUCGGAAUUACUGGGCGUAAAGCGUACGUAGGCGGUUGGUUAAGUUAGAUGUGAAAGCCCCGGGCUUAACCUGGGAACUGCAUUUAAAACUGGCGAACUAGAGUUGAGUAGAGGGGAGUGGAAUUUCAGGUGUAGCGGUGAGAUGCGUAGAGAUCUGAAGGAACACCAGUGGCGAAGGCGACUCCCUGGACUCGAACUGACGCUGAGGUACGAAAGCGUGGGUAGCAAACGGGAUUAGAUACCCCAGUAGUCC
rnacentral:rRNA from 1 species